rnacentral:tRNA from 5 species
GCGAGAGUAGUUCAGUGGUAGAACACCACCUUGCCAAGGUGGGGGUCGCGGGUUCGAAUCCCGUCUCUCGCU